AUCCGAAGCGCCGUCGGCGGCAUGAAAACGCACGAAACAGACGACUGGUAGACGCUGACAAAGUUCAUGGUUAUGUCAAAACGCUUUCCCUAUGAUAAUGGUGCAAGCAGUCGAGUCGUUGCAUGUGGGUGUCUCAGCUGAUGCGCUUCGAUGAACCUGGGUAGAGCGCUGCAGGACCCGUUGCUUUGCGCGCCGUGUGCUCGUACGAACGAGUUUCUGCGGUGUGGUAUACUCGGGUGGUGUCAGAUAAACGAGCGGGUGCUGUGGUACGCAAUGAACGCAUUGGAAUAGGAAUUAGGUGCGGGGGGUGCUCAUCUGAAGCGACAGCGGUUUACCGGCUGACCGAGUACCAGGAGCGGGUUGUCGCGGAACACCAGUGCGGGGCAGCGGCUCACGAGUCGAGCACGCUAUGGACAGUACAAAACGAUCGCUGGGCUCGUAUCGUGGCAAACAAAUACCAAAAAUAAACAUGAAAAUGAGAAUGUAUUUUGGGUGAGGCACAGGUGCAAACGCGUUCUGCACCAGAUUCUAGAUACUAGAGUGCGAGUCUUGCAUAGAGCGCUCGAGGCAGAGGCGACGUGUCAACGAACGGGCAGCUGGACCGCGAGACGGCUCAGGGGUCCAAGCCGGCCCUGUCGCAAGCUUUGGGCCACUUUUGCAUCACCUCGAAUAGUCGCUGGUGAUACGUUUGGACUGCCUGCUCUAACUCGGUGUACUGCUCGCGCAACAGGCACAUACGUUCCUGGUGACCUCUCUUCAGGUCCUGCAUUUGUUCGUGAAUUUGCUGGACCAACAACUGGUUCCGCUGUGCGACUUGGUCUGCUUCGUGGCGCUCGCGAACAGCCGCUUCGAGUUCUUCCUGGAACGAUGCAUAUUCUUGCUCGGUGUCCGUGAGACGACUCUGCAGCUGUGACCGUACACGCUGGAUGCGCUCCUCUGCAGCAACAAUUUGACGAUUGAGUCGCAGCUCUUCCUGGUUCAGCGCUUCGAGAUUCUGCUCGUUUUCGUGCAAUUCAGAUCGUUGCUUCUGUACGAGGUCGCGCGACUGUUUGCAUUUUGAAACCUGGACAUCUGCAUCCUCGAAUGCUUUGAGAAGUUCUUGCAGUUUUCCGAACACCUCCUGCAGGGCCUCCAAUUCCAUCUGCACUUGUCGAUGCUCAUGCUCGAUUCGCUCGACAUGUCGCUUCUCGCGCUCGAGACUUUCCUCCAUAUCCGCGAGCUGUUGCUGCACCCGCUCAGGCGAUGAAACAAUCAUCGCUUGCAGCUUCGCAAUCUCUUGUUUUGUCUGCAAUAGUUCGAAUUUGUGAUUCGCGAUCUGAUCGGCAUAUUCGUUGACUUUGGUUUUGAGUUCCUUGAUCUGAGCCUGCAACUGCAACUGUUGUUUGUUCAAGGAAGUGAUCUCCGCGGCCAACUCGCCAGUUUCAGACUCGAGUGCCGUAACUUUCUGCUGCUCCGCAGCCGCCCGAUCGCUCCACUUGCGCUGUCGCAUCUCAAGAUCAUUGCAUUUCGCCUCAAGUUCGCGCUGGUGCUGCAGAGCCUCCUCCGAACGGCCGGCUAUUUUCUGGAAUUGAACGAGCCGCUCCUCUCGAAACUUGGCAAAGUUAAUGACCCCGCUCAGGAUACGACGCAACCGUGGAUAUUCUGGCUUCAGGUAAUCGUUCAAAGAGAAAUCGUGGAUGCCGGAUGCUCGCAUCAAUCGUUGCGCCGCUCGAUGGAACACAACCACCGGCGCUGACUCCUCGUGCAGCUCCGGGAAUCCUAACGCUUCGAGCGCCUCGGGUACCGGAUUGGCCAAGUCCUCACGUCGAGUCGGCGUCAGUAGCUCUAUGAGCUGUUCCAGCAUCAGUCGCACAUGUUCUGGGGUCGGCUGGUGCAGCUGCUGUUCGGAAAAGGGGAUCCGCAGUUCCUGCAUGCAGGCCAUAAUCUCACUCGGCGGCAGCAGCGGGAACGAGUACUGCCGACCAGAAUGUACCGACGCAGGCGUUCGGGCCCGUGAACGCUUCCCAGUCGAGUCAGCUGGCGCUGAACCGUGCCCUCCCGCUGCUGUCGGUCGUGGUGUUGCGUAAAUAGAGCGCAUGUUUCCCGCGCGCUGUGUGCUGGGCGGUGCCGCUAACAUUGCCCCUGCCGAGUCCAGUGCGAAACUAGUCUAAACGAUAUGUC
rnacentral:misc_RNA from 1 species